rnacentral:rRNA from 1 species
UACGUAGGGUGCGAGCGUUAAUCGGAAUUACUGGGCGUAAAGCGUGCGCAGGCGGUUAUGUAAGACAGAGGUGAAAUCCCCGGGCUCAACCUGGGAACUCCCUUUGUGACUGCAUGACUAGAGUACGGCAGAGGGGGAUGGAAUUCCGCGUGUAGCAGUGAAAUGCGUAGAUAUACGGAGGAACACCGAUGGCGAAGGCAAUCCCCUGGGCCUGUACUGACGCUCAUGCACGAAAGCGUGGGGAGAAAACAGG